rnacentral:rRNA from 1 species
GAUGCGCUAGCGAUAGGCUUAACACAUGCAAGUCGAGGGGCAUCGAGGGUAGCAAUACCUGUCGGCGACCGGCGCACGGGUGAGUACGCGUAUGUAACCUGCCCGCAACAGUGGAAUAACCCGGCGAAAGUCGGACUAAUACCGCAUAAACAGGGGUCCCGCAUGGGAAUAUUUGUUAAAGAUUUAUCGGUUGCGGAUGGGCAUGCGUACCAUUAGGUAGUUGGUAGGUACGGCUCACCAAGCCUUCGAUGGUUAGGGUUCUAAGGAAGGUCCCCCACACUGGUACUGAGACACGGACCAGACUCCUACGGGAGGCAGCAGUGAGGAAUAUUGGUCAAUGGUCGAGAGAUGAACCAGCCAAUCGCGUGAAGGAUGACUGCCCUAUGGGUUGUAAACUUCUUUUACAAGGGAAUAAAUGAGAUACGUGUAUUUUAUUGCAUGUACCUUGAGAAUAAGCAUCGGCUAA